GCGCAGCCUGAUCCAGCAUGCCGCGUGUGUGAAAAGGCCUUCGGGUUGUAAAGCACUUUUGUCCGGAAAGAAAACCUCGUGGUUAAUACCCGUGGGGGAUGACGGUACCGGAAGAAUAAGCACCGGCUAACUACGUGCCAGCAGCCGCGGUAAUACGUAGGGUGCAAGCGUUAAUCGGAAUUACUGGGCGUAAAGCGUGCGCAGGCGGUUCGCUAAGACAGAUGUGAAAUCCCCGGGCUUAACCUGGGAACUGCAUUUGUGACUGGCGGGCUAGAGUAUGGCAGAGGGGGGUAGAAUUCCACGUGUAGCAGUGAAAUGCGUAGAGAUGUGGAGGAAUACCGAUGGCGAAGGCAGCCCCCUGGGCCAAUACUGACGCUCAUGCACGAAAGCGUGGGGAGCAAACA
rnacentral:rRNA from 1 species